UGCCUACCAACUCCUAUCCCUACCUUCUCGUGAUACUGACCGGGGUACGAGUUACCUUAGGGAAGAUCGGGUAACCAACUCCGGUGAGAAAUCUGGUCUUUUGCUGACAGGGAAGG
rnacentral:ribozyme from 1 species